rnacentral:rRNA from 1 species
GUGGUGUCACAAAAUCGGAGGCCACGACUGUUUACUAAAAACACAAUUCAGAGCAAUGAUGAAAAUCAUAGUAUUCUGGAUGAAAUUUGCCCGAUGCCAUUAACAUAAAAGAGGUAAUGGGAAACUGUUACUAAUUGAAAGUCUGGUUAAUAGCGGUCUUAACUAUGAGGAUCCUAAGGUAGCAAAAUCAGUUGGCCAUUAAAUGUGGUCUGGUAUCAAUAGUGUAACGAUGGUCUCACUGUCUCUACAACUUGCUCAGUGAAAUUGAAUUAUCCGUGCAGAUGCGGAUUGCCUCCAGGUGGACCGGAAGACCC